rnacentral:rRNA from 2 species
GCUUGCUUCAUGAUUUACAUUUGAGUGAGUGGCGAACUGGUGAGUAACACGUGGGAAACCUGCCCAGAAGCGGGGGAUAACACCUGGAAACAGAUGCUAAUACCGCAUAACAACUUGGACCGCAUGGUCCGAGCUUGAAAGAUGGCUUCGGCUAUCACUUUUGGAUGGUCCCGCGGCGUAUUAGCUAGAUGGUGGGGUAACGGCUCACCAUGGCAAUGAUACGUAGCCGACCUGAGAGGGUAAUCGGCCACAUUGGGACUGAGACACGGCCCAAACUCCUACGGGAGGCAGCAGUAGGGAAUCUUCCACAAUGGACGAAAGUCUGAUGGAGCAACGCCGCGUGAGUGAAGAAGGGUUUCGGCUCGUAAAACUCUGUUGUUAAAGAAGAACAUAUCUGAGAGUAACUGUUCAGGUAUUGACGGUAUUUAACCAGAAAGCCACGGCUAACUACGUGCCAGCAGCCGCGGUAAUACGUAGGUGGCAAGCGUUGUCCGGAUUUAUUGGGCGUAAAGCGAGCGCAGGCGGUUUUUUAAGUCUGAUGUGAAAGCCUUCGGCUCAACCGAAGAAGUGCAUCGGAAACUGGGAAACUUGAGUGCAGAAGAGGACAGUGGAACUCCAUGUGUAGCGGUGAAAUGCGUAGAUAUAUGGAAGAACACCAGUGGCGAAGGCGGCUGUCUGGUCUGUAACUGACGCUGAGGCUCGAAAGUAUGGGUAGCAAACAGGAUUAGAUACCCUGGUAGUCCAUACCGUAAACGAUGAAUGCUAAGUGUUGGAGGGUUUCCGCCCUUCAGUGCUGCAGCUAACGCAUUAAGCAUUCCGCCUGGGGAGUACGGCCGCAAGGCUGAAACUCAAAGGAAUUGACGGGGGCCCGCACAAGCGGUGGAGCAUGUGGUUUAAUUCGAAGCUACGCGAAGAACCUUACCAGGUCUUGACAUACUAUGCAAAUCUAAGAGAUUAGAC